CGAGGAACUUGCCCCGGAGACCGGGAUAACUCUCCGAAAGGAGAGCUAAUACCGGAUGUCCUCACCGAGUCGCAUGGCUUGGUGAAGAAAUGGAUUCCGCUCCGGGAGAGCCUCGCGGCCUAUCAGCUAGUUGGUGAGGUAACGGCUCACCAAGGCAUCGACGGGUAGCUGGUCUGAGAGGACGAUCAGCCACACGUGGGACUGAGACACGGCCCAGACCUCCGUAGGGAGG
rnacentral:rRNA from 1 species